CAAGAGUAAGCUAUGUGAGGUUGAUGGCGAUGCUUAAAAAGCAAUCGACUUACAAGGGUGUGAAAAUGGGCUCGAUAUUAAAUCAAGAAAAAUAUGAUUUUUAUAAGUUUAAAAAUGGUUUUGAAUGAAUGAUGAAAUUAAAAGAAAAUAAAUUUGCAUUAUUAACAAAUGAAACUAUGAGUAUAAUAAAGGCAUAAACAUAAAAGAAAUGAAAAUUCUAAAAGAAAAUAAAAUAGCUAAAAGAAAUAAAAUGCCAAAAAAAUGCCACACAUGAGUAUUG
rnacentral:lncRNA from 1 species